GAUUAACUUUGGUGCGCUGGUUGCGUUUACCUUCGUUAACCUGUCGGUGAUUUCGCAGUUCUGGAUCCGUGAGAAGCGUAAUAAAACGUUGAAAGAUCACUUCCAGUAUCUGUUCCUGCCGAUGUGCGGCGCGCUCACGGUUGGCGCGUUGUGGGUUAACCUGGAAGAGAGCUCAAUGGUACUGGGCCUGAUCUGGGCGGGUAUCGGGCUGAUUUAUCUGGCGUGCGUAACUAAAAGCUUCCGUAACCCGGUUCCACAGUACGAAGACGUCGCGUAAUCGCACGUAUUAUCGGCAAUAGUAAAACCGGAGGCAGUGCCUCCGGUUUUUUGUUUGUCAUCCAGCAUGUUUACCGGAUGGCGGCGUCACUAUUUAUCCGCUCUGGAUUAACAAUGCUCGUCAGGCAUUGGUCAAUUACACAAUCUCAGUUGCGUACUGCCACAGUG
rnacentral:misc_RNA from 1 species